rnacentral:rRNA from 1 species
GACGAACGCUGGCGGCGUGCUUAACACAUGCAAGUCGAACGGAAAGGCCCUGCUUAUGUGGGGUGCUCGAGGGGCGAACGGGUGAGUCACACGUGAGUAACCUGCCCUUGACUUUGGGAUAACUUCAGGAAACUGGGGCUAAUACCGGAUAGGAGUACCUGCGGCAUGGAGGAGGAUGGAAAGUUUCGGCGGUUGGGGAUGGACUUGCGGCUUAUCAGCUUGUUGGUGGGGUAGUGGCUUACCAAGGCUUUGACGGGUAGCCGGCCUGAGAGGGUGACCGGCCACAUUGGGACCGAGAUACCGCCCAGAAUCCUAAGGGAGGGAGGCGUGGGGAAUAUUGCACAAUGGGAGGAAGACUGAUGCCGAGACGCUGUGUGCGCGAUAACAGCCUUCUGGUUGUAAACCGCUUUCGCAUGUGACGAAGAGUGAGUGACGGUAAUGGCUAAAGAAGCACCGGCUAACUACGUG